UGUUUGUUUGUUUGUUUGUUUAUUUAUUUAUUGGUACAAAGGAUUGAACUCAGAGCCUUGCACUUGCAAGGCAGGUGCAGAGCCACUGAGCUAAAUCCCUGGCCUUACAUGUUCAUUUUAGAACAAUCUCAUUGCCAUAGCAUAGAGUAAGGAUGUCAGCAGGGUGAGGCUGGAAGUAGCUGAGAGAUCAGAGCAAUUGUUCAGGUGAGAGAUGAUGAGAAAUGAACUCUUAUUGUGGCAAAAGGAAUGGAGAGAAAAAUCAAAAUCAUCUUGCACAAAUGUGGUGAAGUGAUUUCAGGAGGGAUGGUGGUGUAGAAUGAAAUAGAUAUCAGGUGGCAUGUUUCUAAGCCUUUGACAUCACUCUUCCCACAGCCUAUUCUGAGCAGUUGUGGCUUCACAAAGUGAAAUGGAAUUUUCUGGAGAAAAUAAAUUUUAAAAAGCUGAAUGCACUUAUUUUGGAGGUUACCCAGUCCUUUGGAGCAAGAGGCUUUUUCUACUACCAGUCUUAUAUUCUUUCUAGAAGAUUAAAAAAAAUAAUUAAAAGAGGACUUGAGUGCUUAGAUUCUCUUGAAGGGAAAAGUGUUGGUGUCCAUUGUAAAUAUAAGUUUUCAGAAUGAAAGUUGCAUAGAGUACAGUCAUAUAAGGCCAUCAUGUGUUAGUGAGAUUUUUGUGACUAUAAAGAAUAUCUGAGGUACUGUGCAGAUAAGUAGUUGGACCAGAGUGCUGCCCAACCAAGC
rnacentral:lncRNA from 1 species